GACGAACGCUGGCGGCGUGCUUAACACAUGCAAGUCGAACGGUGAAGCGCCUUCCUUUUUGGUGGGUGUGGAUGAGUGGCGAACGGGUGAGUAACACGUGAGUAACCUGCCCCCUUCUUCUGGAUAACCGCAUGAAAGUGUGGCUAAUACGGAUAUUCUGGGUCUGUCGCAUGAUGGGUCUGGGAAAGAUAUUGUUUCGGUGGGGGAUGGGCUCGCGGCCUAUCAGCUUGUUGGUGGGGUGAUGGCCUACCAAGGCGGUGACGGGUAGCCGGCCUGAGAGGGUGGACGGUCACACUGGGACUGAGACACGGCCCAGACUCCUACGGGAGGCAGCAGUGGGGAAUAUUGCACAAUGGGCGCAAGCCUGAUGCAGCGACGCCGCGUGAGGGAUGGAGGCCUUCGGGUUGUGAACCUCUUUCGCCAGUGAAGCAGGCCUGCCUCGUUUGUGGGUGGGUUGACGGUAGCUGGAGAAGAAGCGCCGGCUAACUACGUG
rnacentral:rRNA from 1 species